AAGUCGUAACAAGGUCUCCGUUGGUGAACCAGCGGAGGGAUCAUUACCGAGUUUCUACACUCACCAAACCCACUGUAAACGUACCCAAUCUUAGCCCCUCCGGCAGGCGGCCCCAGGGCGGGGCCUCAGCCUUUAUGGCGCCUGCCGAAGGAGGCGCAACUUUUGCUCUUUAAAAUACAAUCUGAGACCUAAGACAAAAUAUCAAAAUUUUCAAUUGUGGAUCUCUUGGUUCUG
rnacentral:misc_RNA from 1 species